AUUGAACGCUGGCGGAAGGCCUAACACAUGCAAGUCGAGCGCGAAAGUUCUUCGGAAUGAGUAAAGCGGCGGACGGGUGAGUAAUACAUGGGAAUCUGCCUGGUAGUGGGGGACAACGUUUCGAAAGGAACGCUAAUACCGCAUACGCCCUACGGGGGAAAGGGGGGGAUCGCAAGACCUCUCGCUAUCAGAUGAGCCCA
rnacentral:rRNA from 1 species